GUGCAACACAGUUGCCAUUACAACUCUCCCAAUUUGACAAAACUCCGGUCACCCCAUCUCAGUUUAUCUCUUGCUCAUGGCUCAGGACCAAUGGGUUUUCCUGUUUUUGCGAGGAAGACGUCUGGGAAAGGCGGCAUUGGCCUCACUGAGCAGAGUGUUUCCGACAAUGAGUUUGAUAAAUUUUUCGAUGAGGAUGAGGAUAA
rnacentral:misc_RNA from 1 species